UACGGGGGGGGCAAGCGUUAUUCGGAUUGAAUGGGCGUAAAGGAUGCGUAGACAAGCGUAGUGCCACGUACUAAAAGGCCAAAAGGGAUUUUGGAAGGGACGUAUGUGAACCACUACGAAGGGAGUUCAGUAGAGGUUGGGGGAAUUUUUGGUGGAGCGGUCCAAUGCGUCGAUCCCAAAAGGAACACCGUAGGCGAAGGCACCCUUCCAGACUGAACUGACGUUGAGGCAUGAAGGUGCGGGGAGCAAACGGG
rnacentral:rRNA from 1 species